UGACCAGGAGUCAUUAAAGACGGCGGAACAGCCAGAAACAUCAGCGGGACGGCCAAUGGUGACGGUAGACUCAGGAGCGGGAGCAGGGUCCGGACAGUCAGCGGUGACAGCAGGCUCACGGGUGGGUUCGCUGUUCCGAAUUGGUCCAAAGAUGAUGGUGUCGAGGAGCUUCUCUUCUUCCUGGAUCCUGUAGAGCGUGGAGAUUCUCCCUUCAAGCUCCUGGACUUUGUCAGCCAGGUGAGCGCAGCUGACACAACCGGAUAGCGAGCUGACCUUGCUGUGGAAAAAGAGGACAACAAAGUUGAUUUUUGCAGCACUGCAUCACAAGUGAAAGGUCAGACCAUCUUCAUCCACCACACUGAGCUACCGUCACUAUGACCCCACCUGUGGUUGACAGGAGAGGUAAAUUUUGAAAACUUUGAUGCAGUUCUGUCAUUCGUCCAUGUGAAUAAUAAUCAUUGGAACAUGCAGUACAUUCAUGCAAAAUCUGGCACAGUGUUUCAAUUGGAUUCUUCAUCAGCAUCCUCUGAGCUUGAGGACUCCACACAUGCCGC